CAGUCGCCGCGGGAAUACGAAGGGUGCAAGCGUUACUCGGAAUUACUGGGCGUAAAGCGUGCGUAGGUGGUGGUUUAAGUCCGUUGUGAAAGCCCUGGGCUCAACCUGGGAAUUGCAGUGGAUACUGGGUCACUAGAGUGUGGUAGAGGAUAGUGGAAUUUCCGGUGUAGCAGUGAAAUGCGUAGAGAUCGGAAGGAACAUCUGUGGCGAAGGCGACUAUCUGGGCCAACACAGACACUGAGGCACGAAAGCGUGGGGAGCAAACAGGAUUAGAUACCCGAGUAGUCCCUGUCUCUUAUAC
rnacentral:rRNA from 1 species